CGACUAUAAAUCAACAAUUUACCGAUCAUAACAUAAUUGGUCGCAGACACUCUUUUCCACCCACUGGAAUACCACCAAUCAUCACCUCGCCAAAUCCACCACCACUGCCAGCUUCACUAGCUCCAAAACCACCCAAAUCCCCAAUACCACCAAAACACAGACGACCACCACUACUCUACUCUAACAACCAAAAAAACACCACCUCCACCAAUACCCACACUAUCGCACCACCAUCGCCCCAUCACUACCACCACCAUUGCAAAAUCAUAUCCAUCCACACUUAACAAAUCAGAAACACACCUCUGCUUACACAAACCUCACCUAGCCACCACCACUGAAAAAUAAAUCAAAAAUCGCAACAUUGUCGAGGGUAGAACCACCAACGAUAGCACCACCACCCACCACUAAUAAACCACCUCAAUAAACUAUCACAAAAACUACCUCAAAACCACUUGUGACCACCGCCCGCAGCUGCCUGAACCAUCGCCCCCGCCACAACCCCAAUCAACAUAGCCCAAACACAUAACACAAACGCGCGGCCACCACCACCAAAAUACACCAUCAUUGGAAUGAAGUCAUCGGAGAAGCUAAUUCCUGCCCCUUUCUUUAAUCCAUCCUUAAUUUGUUCAAUUUCUGUACCCAUCUUUAUUUCUUGUCGUCGCAGCUAGGUUGAUAAUGGAGGGAGGAGAGAGAGAGAGAGAAGAAGAAGAAGAAUUUGAUUACGAUAUGAGGGAGGUGGGAUGGUGGAGGGGUAUAGAGAGAAUGAAGAACAGGUGCUAGGUUGAUAAUGGAGGGAGGAGAGAGAGAGAAGAAGAAUUUGAUUACGAUAUGAGGGAGGUGGGAUGGGGGAGGGGUAUAGAGAGAAUGAAGAACAGGUGGCGGCUUGGCUUUUAAGAGAAAGACAG
rnacentral:lncRNA from 1 species